AGAGUUUGAUCCUGGCUCAGAUUGAACGCUGGCGGCAUGCCUUACACAUGCAAGUCGAACGGCAGCACGGGAGCAAUCCUGGUGGCGAGUGGCGAACGGGUGAGUAAUAUAUCGGAACGUGCCCAGUCGUGGGGGAUAACGCAGCGAAAGCUGUGCUAAUACCGCAUACGAUCUAUGGAUGAAAGCGGGGGACUCGCAAGAGCCUCGCGCGAUUGGAGCGGCCGAUAUCAGAUUAGCUAGUUGGCGGGGUAAAAGCCCACCAAGGCGACGAUCUGUAGCUGGUCUGAGAGGACGACCAGCCACACUGGAACUGAGACACGGUCCAGACUCCUACGGGAGGCAGCAGUGGGGAAUUUUGGACAAUGGGCGAAAGCCUGAUCCAGCAAUGCCGCGUGCAGGAUGAAGGCCUUCGGGUUGUAAACUGCUUUUGUACGGAACGAAACGGUCUGUCCUAAUACGAUGGGCUAAUGACGGUACCGUAAGAAUAAGCACCGGCUAACUACGUGCCAGCAGCCGCGGUAAUACGUAGGGUGCGAGCGUUAAUCGGAAUUACUGGGCGUAAAGCGUGCGCAGGCGGUUAUGUAAGACAGAUGUGAAAUCCCCGGGCUCAACCUGGGACCUGCAUUUGUGACUGCAUAGCUAGAGUACGGUAGAGGGGGAUGGAAUUCCGCGUGUAGCAGUGAAAUGCGUAGAUAUGCGGAGGAACACCGAUGGCGAAGGCAAUCCCCUGGACCUGUACUGACGCUCAUGCACGAAAGCGUGGGGAGCAAACAGGAUUAGAUACCCUGGUAGUCCACG
rnacentral:rRNA from 1 species